rnacentral:rRNA from 1 species
CAGCCGCCGCGGUAACACCAGCCCCUCGAGUGGUGGGGACUAUUAUUUGGCCUAAAGCGUCCGUAGCUGGCUGUAUCCGUCUCCCGGUAAAUCCGGCGUCCUAAGCGUCGGUUCUCGGGUGAUACCAUACAGCUAGAGGGUGGGAUAGGUGAGCGGUAUUUCUGGGGUAGGGGCGAAAUCCUUUGAUCCCAGGAGGACCACCAGUGGCGAAGGCUGCUCACUAGAACACGCCUGACGGUCAGGGACGAAAGCUGGGGCAGCGAACCGGAUUAGGUACCCGGGUAGUCCCAGCUGUAAACGAUGCUAGCUAGGUGUUGGGUCGGCCACGCGCCGCCCCAGUGCCGCAGGGAAGCCGUUAAGCUAGCCGCCUGGGGAGUACGGCCGCAAGGCUGAAACUUACAGGAAUUGGCGGGGGAGCAC